AGCCGGGGUGUUAGCGGUACCUUGUACCUGCAAUCCGCUAUAGCAGGGGUGAAGCUGUGCAGAGGGCAAAAGCUGGUGAGGCUGCCCUUAGUAAGCGGCGUUGAUGUCUGGGUCUCACGCGACGGGAAUCUAUGAACCGUGUCAGGUCGGGAACGGAGCAGCACUAAGUAGAACCUUCCGGGUGCCGUGAGGGUGCCUGGGCUGAGUUAGCUGCUAAGGUAACGCUUGUUGGCCAAGUUCG
rnacentral:SRP_RNA from 1 species